rnacentral:rRNA from 1 species
AAAUUGAAGAGUUUGAUCAUGGCUCAGAUUGAACGCUGGCGGCAGGCCUAACACAUGCAAGUCGAGCGGUAGCACAGAGAGCUUGCUCUCGGGUGACGAGCGGCGGACGGGUGAGUAAUGUCUGGGAAACUGCCUGAUGGAGGGGGAUAACUACUGGAAACGGUAGCUAAUACCGCAUAACGUCGCAAGACCAAAGUGGGGGACCUUCGGGCCUCAUGCCAUCAGAUGUGCCCAGAUGGGAUUAGCUAGUAGGUGGGGUAACGGCUCACCUAGGCGACGAUCCUAGCUGGUCUGAGAGGAUGACCAGCCACACUGGAACUGAGACACGGUCCAGACUCCUACGGGAGGCAGCAGUGGGGAAUAUUGCACAAUGGGCGCAAGCCUGAUGCAGCCAUGCCGCGUGUGUGAAGAAGGCCUUCGGGUUGUAAAGCACUUUCAGCGGGGAGGAAGGCGAUAAGGUUAAUAACCUUGUCGAUUGACGUUACCCGCAGAAGAAGCACCGGCUAACUCCGUGCCAGCAGCCGCGGUAAUACGGAGGGUGCAAGCGUUAAUCGGAAUUACUGGGCGUAAAGCGCACGCAGGCGGUCUGUCAAGUCGGAUGUGAAAUCCCCGGGCUCAACCUGGGAACUGCAUUCGAAACUGGCAGGCUAGAGUCUUGUAGAGGGGGGUAGAAUUCCAGGUGUAGCGGUGAAAUGCGUAGAGAUCUGGAGGAAUACCGGUGGCGAAGGCGGCUCCACGGACAAAGACUGACGCUCAGGUGCGAAAGCGUGGGGAGCAAACAGGAUUAGAUACCACGGUAGUCCACGCCGUAAACGAUGUCGAUUUGGAGGUUGUGCCCUUGAGGCGUGGCUUCCGGAGCUAACGCGUUAAAUCGACCGCCCGGGAGUACGGCCGCAAGGUUAAAACUCAAAUGAAUUGACGGGGCCCGCACAAGCGGUGGAGCAUGUGGUUUAAUUCGAUGCAACGCGAAGAACCUUACACGGUCUUGACAUCCACAGAACUUUCCAGAGAUGGAUUGGUGCCUUCGGGAACUGUGAGACAGGUGCUGCAUGGCUGUCGUCAGCUCGUGUUGUGAAAUGUUGGGUUAAGUCCCGCAACGAGCGCAACCCUUAUCCUUUGUUGCCAGCGGUUAGGCCGGGAACUCAAAGGAGACUGCCAGUGAUAAACUGGAGGAAGGUGGGGAUGACGUCAAGUCAUCAUGGCCCUUACGACCAGGGCUACACACGUGCUACAAUGGCAUAUACAAAGAGAAGCGACCUCGCGAGAGCAAGCGGACCUCAUAAAGUAUGUCGUAGUCCGGAUUGAGUCUGCAACUCGACUCCAUGAAGUCGGAAUCGCUAGUAAUCGUAGAUCAGAAUGCUACGGUGAAUACGUUCCCGGGCCUUGUACACACCGCCCGUCACACCAUGGGAGUGGGUUGCAAAAGAAGUAGGUAGCUUAACCUUCGGGAGGGCGCUUACCACUUUGUGAUUCAUGACUGGGGUGAAGUCGUAACAAGGUAACCGUAGGGGAACCUGCGGUUGGAUCACCUCCUUACCUUAAAGAA